rnacentral:misc_RNA from 1 species
AGGCCAAAAAUUUGGAUAGAAGAUGCUCUCUCAUGCCUCUCGAAAAGCAUAAUGUAGCGCGAAUUCUGAAGCAUAAUCCUCCUUGCCAUGUUUGAGUUAGAUUGAUUUGGUAAGUUCAACUUCCGACUGAUCCCCGGACCAUUAGGGUUCUGGUGAAGUCAUAUCUGUUUCAUGCUACAUUUCAACUUCUCUGAUUCAAGCUCUUGUUUCAAAGACUCGAGUCGUUCAAGUAAAUCAAUGUUUUCCUUUUGCAGCAGGUCCAUUUUCUU